AGUGCAGUCCUACGAGAGGCAGCAGUGAGGAAUAUUGGUCAAUGGGCGAGAGCCUGAACCAGCCAAGUCGCGUGAGGGAAGACGGUCCUAUGGAUUGUAAACCUCUUUUGCCGGGGAGCAAAGAGCGGCACGUGUGCCGCGCCGAGAGUACCCGGAGAAAAAGCAUCGGCUAACUCCGUGCC
rnacentral:rRNA from 1 species